GUAGGGAGCAAGCGUUGUUCGGAUUUACUGGGCGUAAAGGGCGCGUAGGCGGCGCGGUAAGUCACUUGUGAAAUCUCUGAGCUUAACUCAGAACGGCCAAGUGAUACUGCAGUGCUAGAGUGCAGAAAGGGCAAUUGGAAUUCUUGGUGUAGCGGUGAAAUGCGUAGAUAUCAAGAGGAACACCUGAGGCGAAGGCGGGUUGCUAGGCUGACACUGACGCUGAGGCGCGAAAGCCAGGGGAGCAAACGGGAUUAGAUACCCCGGUAGUCCUGGCCCUAAACGAUGAAUACUUGGUGUCUGGAGUUCUAAUACUCCGGGUGCCGCCGCUAACGUUUUUAGUAUUCCGCCUGGGGAGUACGCUCGCAAGAGUG
rnacentral:rRNA from 1 species